rnacentral:rRNA from 1 species
UAGGGAAUCUUCCACAAUGGACGCAAGUCUGAUGGAGCAACGCCGCGUGAGUGAAGAAGGUCUUCGGAUCGUAAAGCUCUGUUGUUGGUGAAGAAGGAUAGAGGCAGUAACUGGUCUUUAUUUGACGGUAAUCAACCAGAAAGUCACGGCUAACUACGUGCCAGCAGCCGCGGUAAUACGUAGGUGGCAAGCGUUGUCCGGAUUUAUUGGGCGUAAAGCGAGCGCAGGCGGAAUGAUAAGUCUGAUGUGAAAGCCCACGGCUCAACCGUGGAACUGCAUCGGAAACUGUCAUUCUUGAGUGCAGAAGAGGAGAGUGGAACUCCAUGUGUAGCGGUGGAAUGCGUAGAUAUAUGGAAGAACACCAGUGGCGAAGGCAGGCUCUCUGGUCUGCAACUGACGCUGAGGCUCGAAAGCAUGGGUAGCGAACAGGAUUAGAUACCCUGGUAGUCCAUGCCGUAAACGAUGAGCGCUAGGUGUUGGGGACUUUCCGGUCCUCAGUGCCGCAGCAAACGCAUUAAGCGCUCCGCCUGGGGAGUACGACCGCAAGGUUGAA